rnacentral:rRNA from 1 species
UGGGGAAUUUUGGACAAUGGGCGAAAGCCUGGUCCAGCAAUGCCGCGUGUGUGAAGAAGGCAUUCGGGUUGUAAAGCACUUUUGUCCGGAAAGAAAUCCUUGGCUCUAAUACAGUCGGGGGAUGACGGUACCGGAAGAAUAAGCACCGGCUAACUACGUGCCAGCAGCCGCGGUAAUACGUAGGGUGCAAGCGUUAAUCGGAAUUACUGGGCGUAAAGCGUGCGCAGGCGGUUUGCUAAGACCGAUGUGAAAUCCCCGGGCUCAACCUGGGAACUGCAUUGGUGACUGGCAGGCUAGAGUAUGGCAGAGGGGGGUAGAAUUCCACGUGUAGCAGUGAAAUGCGUAGAGAUGUGGAGGAAUACCGAUGGCGAAGGCAGCCCCCUGGGCCAAUACUGACGCUCAUGCACGAAAGCGUGGGGGAGCAAACAGGAUUAGAUACCCUGGUAGUCCACGCCCUAAACGAUGUCAACUAGUUGUUGGGGAUUCAUUUCCUUAGUAACGUAGCUAACGCGUGAAGUUGACCGCCUGGGGAGUACGGUCGCAAGAUUAAAACUCAAAGGAAUUGACGGGGUCAUAGCUGUUUCCU